CCCGAAACCCGGUGAUCUAGCCAUGGGCAGGUUGAAGGUUGGGUAACACUAACUGGAGGACCGAACCGACUAAUGUUGAAAAAUUAGCGGAUGACCUGUGGCUGGGGGUGAAAGGCCAAUCAAACCGGGAGAUAGCUGGUUCUCCCCGAAAGCUAUUUAGGUAGCGCCUCGUGAAUUCAUCUCCGGGGGUAGAGCACUGUUUCGGCUAGGGGGCCAUCCCGGCUUACCAACCCGAUGCAAACUGCGAAUACCGGAGAAUGUUAUCACGGGAGACACACGGCGGGUGCUAACGUCCGUCGUGAAGAGGGAAACAACCCAGACCGCCAGCUAAGGUCCCAAAGUCAUGGUUAAGUGGGAAACGAUGUGGGAAGGCCCAGACAGCCAGGAUGUUGGCUUAGAAGCAGCCAUCAUUUAAAGAAAGCGUAAUAGCUCACUGGUCGAGUCGGCCUGCGCGGAAGAUGUAACGGGGCUAAACCAUGCACCGAAGCUGCGGCAGCGACACUGUGUGUUGUUGGGUA
rnacentral:rRNA from 1 species